CAAUUACCCGUAGAGAUUCUG
rnacentral:miRNA from 15 species